UACGAAGGGGGCGAGCGUUGUUCAGAAUUACUGGGCGUAAAGGGCGCGCAGGCGGCUCUGAAAGUCAGAUGUGAAAGCCCCGGGCUUAACCUGGGAAUUGCAUUUGAUACUCUGGAGCUUGAGUACGGGAGAGGAGAGUGGAAUUCCCAGUGUAGAGGUGAAAUUCGUAGAUAUUGGGAAGAACACCGGUGGCGAAGGCGGCUCUCUGGGACGGUACUGACGCUGAGACGCGAAAGCGUGGGGAGCGAACAGG
rnacentral:rRNA from 1 species